rnacentral:tRNA from 1 species
GGCGGGAUAGCUCAGCUGGUUAGAGCGUCGGAUUCAUAAUCCGAAGGUCAUGGGUUCAAGUCCCAUUCCCGCUACCA